UACGAAGGGGGCUAGCGUUGUUCGGAUUUACUGGGCGUAAAGCGCACGUAGGCGGAUCGUUAAGUCAGGGGUGAAAUCCCGGGGCUCAACCUCGGAACUGCCUUUGAUACUGCAAGUCUUGAGUCCGGAAGAGGUGAGUGGAAUUCCUAGUGUAGAGGUGAAAUUCGUAGAUAUUAGGAAGAACACCAGUGGCGAAGGCGGCUCACUGGUCCGGUACUGACGCUGAGGUGCGAAAGCGUGGGGAGCAAACAGGG
rnacentral:rRNA from 1 species